rnacentral:SRP_RNA from 1 species
GCCAGAUGUGCCGAUAAUCCCAGCUCCUGGGGAGGUGGGGGCUGCUGGAUCUCUUGAGCUCAGGAGUUCUGAGCUGCAGUGGGAUAAGCUGACUGGGUACCUGCACUAAGUUUGACAUUAAUAUGGUGAAACUCUGGGAGUGGGCUCAACCAGGUACGCUAAGGAUCAGUGAACAGGCUCAACUUAGAAAAAGAACAGGUCCAAAUCGGGUGCCAGUCUCAGUAGGAUCAGGCCUAUGAGUGGCUCCUCCUAUUCAGUAUGAGCGAGAUAGGGAGACCCAGAUU